GACGAACGCUGGCGGCGUGCCUAAUACAUGCAAGUAGAACGCUGAAGGAGGAGCUUGCUUCUCUGGAUGAGUUGCGCACGGGUGAGUAACGCGUAGGUAACCUGCCUGGUAGCGGGGGAUAACUAUUGGAAACGAUAGCUAAUACCGCAUAAGAGUAGAUGUUGCAUGACAUUUGCUUAAAAGGUGCACUUGCAUCACUACCAGAUGGACCUGCGUUGUAUUAUCUAGUUGGUGGUGUAACGGCUUACCAAGGCGACGAUACAUAGCCGACCUGAGAGGGUGAUCGGCCACACUGGGACUGAGACACGGCCCAGACUCCUAAGGGAGGCAGCAGUAGGGAAGCUUCGGCAAUGGACGGAAGUCCGACCGAGGAAAGCCGGGGGAGGGAAGAAGGGUCUCGGAUCGGAAAGCUCUGUUGUAAGAGAAGAAAGAGGGGGAGAGUGGAAAGUUCACACUGUGACGGUAGCUUAACAGAAAGGGACGGCUAACUACGUG
rnacentral:rRNA from 1 species